CAGAGCCCGAUGAGGGGCUCGAACCCAUGAACUGUGAGAUGAUAACCUGAGCCGGAGUCAGACGCUUAACCGACUGAGCCACCCAGGUGCCCUGAUGAUGGGUAAUAUUUUAAUUGAAGCAACACCAAAAGGGAUUUGAGGGCAGCCAUGGCUGAAGAACUGGAACAUUCUAGUCUAGGUUCUAAAGAAAGCUCGGUGCGAGGCAAGCUGGUUUCCCUCGCUUGCUCGUGCAUUUAUGAACAAGGGACGUGUUUAUCCUGUGCCUCGUGUGCUGUUUGCCCCAUCGGGGUCUGCACUGAUGCCGUGGCCUACAGUCAAGAGAUGGAGGAAACAGAAACAGUCGGGUGGAAAACCCUGGCCACGUUUUCCCCGAACCCGAAGCUCCGUUCCAGAGACCUGCAGUGUAAGUCACCAAGGAGGAGCCAUGCUCUCUAGCAGGCAGGAAAUGAGCCUGUGGGGCCAGGCUGCUGGGGAGGCACUCUCUCCGUGCCACCUCCCCACUCUUCCCUUUGGAUGCGAGCAUGAUACUGUUGGGCACUCCGCUCGGAGAUGCCCGCAGAUCAACCGUCAGGAAGCUGAUUGCAAAUAACUUGAUCAUCACUCAGCACCUGAGAAAUACUCUGUUUCUCUCACGAUUACACAAUCUCUCAACGAACGUGGAUUUAUUUCACUGAAAAAUGUGUAAGGCGAAAAUAGCAUGUGCAUCAAAUCAAGGAGUAAGGAGGAAAGCUCCCUGUCCAAAUGAAAGACAAAGGGAGAUGCGGUCAUGCGCUUGGUAGCCUCAAGGAUCCCUGUUCACCGUCAGCGUUCAGUUCUUCGGGGACAUUGAGGCAGGGUCCUCACAGUUGUGCUCCCGACAAGCCAGCCUGAUGUCCCCACUCCCGCCCUCUGUGCUCCCCCAGUGUCCUCUGAACACGUCUCACUUCCAGUUCUGAUGCAUUCUUCUGCUGUGUUCACCUCUGCCCCCUGGCCUCCUCACUGCUUCCAAGAGCAUUUCUUGCAGGAUUUGUUAACAAACACAGGUGAACCACCUGUCACUCAAAAGAGCAAUUCUCAAAAGGUGAGUUUUCAUUGGAAAGGAACUUCAGCUUCACCCAGGAGGCCAGCAACCUGGGGAGAAGGCAGACUCCUGUCCAAAAGCCAACUCUGAUUUCUGCCUGGCCCAUGGGUCUUUAAAGGGUUUCAUCAGUUAAGGGAGUGCGGUGGUCUGUGAUGUUCCUGGUAACAGGCAGGCUCGAUGACCUCAGCUACAGAGUUAUCUUGGUGCUUCGAUGUUGUGCGAGAAGUUCUGGUUCUUGGUACCCAGGGAGUGGUUUUGCAAGGUCUGGUUCUUUGGAACCCCCAAAAGCAGGGCAGGUGGGGGGAAUGUUGUGCAAAUGUACUCUGUUCUUUCUGCAUAGGAGGGCAGGCUGAACAAAUGCACCCAGCGUGGUCAGUAAAGUCAUUUGUGUGAUCUUAAAAAAACAAAACCACGUGCUCAAAGAUUGCCAAGGUUAUCAGAAAACCAAGGGCCUUCAAACAGACCUGUGGGCCUCUGUGACCUGGGAACGUUGAGGUCCUUCACUCCACAAAAGCCACCGGACUGCAGAUCUCAAAGGAAGUAAAUUAGUUCCGUUACAGAUCAAGGGCCUUAGGUCAGCAAAGAAGGAGCGUGUUAACUUGAAGCAAGUUAACCCUUAAACACUGGCUGCAGUCUCUAGGUAGCUGGGACCAAAGGAACAGUGUUUGGAGAAGCCACCUUAAUGAACCAAGGUGUCCAGCCAUGUUGAUGAAGGACGCUCCUCCCCGCAAAUCAGUGAACACUCCAUUUUCCAUACAUCCUUUGGGAUCUGCAGUCCAGUGGCUGCCGUCCAGUUCCAGUGGGAACACGCGAUGACAUUCAUUUUUAUCACUCAUUGCCGUGGCGAUGGCUAACUGUACUGUUCAUGAUGUUGGGGAGGAAGAAUUUCCUCUGCCAUUCAAGGUCCUCCUGGUUGAACUAAGAAUCAAGUUGACACGAGGCAGAUGAGCAUGAGAAAAUCACGUUUACUUUACUACGUACGGGGAACCCACACAGACACGGAAAUUCCAAUGACAGGCAAAAUGAGAGUCGAGAACCUAAGCGUUUCCGAGACCUGUGUUUAUGGCCUUUUAUUGACCAGGAAUGGCCCCUUCAUAUCCUAUGUGGUCAAAUCCAAGAUGCUUUUCAAGGUCAACUCACUCAGUCACUCUUACUGGGUGAAGACUUGCAAAUCAAUCAGAGCAUUAAGUGGAUCUCCAGAAGUUUCACAGCAAUUUAGAAAUGAAACCAAGAUUUAAUACCAGCCUGCUUAAAAAGGUGCCAUGUCGAUGAUGCACACCGUGCAACAGAUGGGAAAAAUCCUCAUGCAACUUAACAACAUGCUCACGUUUUCCUGUAGUUCUGCCGAAACACAACUUUGUGAGAGCUCCCUCCGUUACCGCCAAGAUAAGCCACACCUGCUACAAAAGCAUAGCUCCCAUGUCCACAAAGUCUCUGGUAGCCUUGAACGUCUGAUUCUCCUUCUGGGAACAUCCUGUACAGACUAGAGUAUAGGCGGGUGCGUGUGUCUUUUCUUUGGGUUUUUGGAUUUUUGUUGUCAUUGGGAGGAUGCUACAAUGAGCUGGUGUUCCCAGAGCUGUAUCUGUAGGAAUUCUUGGAGGGUUGCAUUUGAAAUAUGUGCUGCUCAACAAAAAUACUGUUUCUACCAAACUCCCGGAGGACCAACCAAUUUAGAAUUAUUUCUUUUUAUUUCUUUUUUAUUUUUUUAAAUGUUUAUUUGUUUUUGAGAGAGAGAGAGAG